rnacentral:rRNA from 1 species
GGGCGUAAAGAGCGAGCAGGUGGUUCAUUAAGUCAAUUGUGAAAUCUCAAGGCUUAACCUUGAAAUUGCUUUUGAUACUGAUGAACUAGAGUUUGGGAGAGGAUAGUGGAAUUCUAAGUGUAGAAGUGAAAUCCGUAGAUAUUUAGAGGAACACCGAUAGCGAAGGCAACUAUCUGGCCCUUUACUGACACUCAGAAGCGAAAGCUUGGGUAGCAAACAGGAUUAGAUACCCUGGUAGUCCAUGCUGUAAACGAUGAGUGCUAGAUGUUAGAAGUUUACUUCUAGUAUCGAAGCUAACGCGUUAAGCACUCCGCCUGGGGAGUACGGCCGCAAGGCUAAAACUCAAAUGAAUUGACGGGGACCCGCACAAGCAGUGGAGCAUGUGGUUUAAUUCGACGCUACGCGAAAAACCUUACCAGCUUUUGACAUGCUAAGUUUUGAGUUUAAGAGAUUAAAUUCUUCAGUUCGGCUGGGCUUAGUACAGGUGCUGCAUGGCUGUCGUCAGCUCGUGUCGUGAGAUGUUCGGUUAAGUCCGGCAACGAGCGCAACCCUCAUCUUCAGUUACUAACAGGUUAAGCUGAGGACUCUGGAGAAACUGCCGUUGGAAAAGCGGAGGAAGGCGAGGAUGACGUCAAGUCCUCAUGGCCCUUAUGGGCUGGGCUACACACGUGCUAUAAUGGUAAUUACAAUAGGUCGCGAAAAGGCAACUUUGAGCUAAUCUUCAAAAAUUAUCUUAGUUCAGAUUGCUCUCUGCAACUCGAGAGCAUGAAGUUGGAAUUGCUAGUAAUCGUGGGUCAGCAUGCCACGGUGAAUACGUUCCCGGGUCUUGUACACACCGCCCGUCACACCAUGGGAGUUGGUUUUACCUGACAGCCGAUAUAAUCGUCCACGUAAGUCGCAGCCGA